UCAUAACCGCAUCAGGUCUCCA
rnacentral:snRNA from 1 species